rnacentral:lncRNA from 1 species
GACUGAUGCAGGGCUUGAUUCAUGUGAUUGAUUAGUUGUUACACCCUUGAAUCUCGCCUAAUUAUUUUUGUUGUGAUCUGUUGCUUGAUUUGUGGCAUGAUCUCUGAUAUGCCCCUGUAACAUAGGGUUGUCAUCCACAAGUCCAAUCUUGGUUCUUAGUUGGUCCAUUUGUUGCCUUGACAAUGGCUUCGUGAGAAGAUCUACAAGCUGAUCUUGCGUAUUCACACAAUGAAUUUUCAGCAUUCUUUUUUGAACUAUAUCUCUAACAAAAUACAGGUUUAUUUGAAUAUGCAUCAUCCAAGAAUGUUGAAUAGGGUUAAGGCUAAGUUGUGUUACGCCAAUUUAUCACAAAGCAAUUUUGGUAAGAAGAAAUGUUUAAGCCGAGUUCCUGAAAUAGCGACAAUAACCAAAUGGUUUUUGAUGUUGAUGUUGCAGUUGCAAGAGCUCUAUACUCUGCUUCAGUAGAUGAUCUUGCAAUGGCCCGUAGUUUUUUCGAGCUCUAAGAGAUCGGAUUUUGAUCGAGAAAGCAUAUGUAGACAAAUAUGGAACUUCCAAACCGCCAACAAAAUCCAACAAAAGGAAGCCUUCGAAGAACCUUAAUAAGUUCAAGAAGAAGACUAAAAGAGGAUGCUUUGUUUGUGGGAAAUUUGGACACUACACAAAAGAUUGUAGACACCGAAAACACAACAACUCCGAGGGUAAAGUGAAUUUCAUCCAACAAGACAAAAUUGUGGCCACCGUGAGCGAAAUAAAUGCAAUGAAGGGAAAGAUUCUCGGCUGGUGGUAUGAUAUUUGUGCCACAGUGCAUGAAUCAUAUGACAAAUCUUUGUUCAAAACAUAAAUGAAGUGGAUGGAGACCAAAAGAUCUAAAUAGGUAACGAGGUGCGGUCCAAAGUAAUUGAAAAAGGAAUUGUAGAAAUCAUCUUCACUUCUGGGAAAAAUGUUACUCUCACAAAUGUACUACAUGUUCCGGAUAUGAAUAUGAACUUAGUGAGUGGAAAUCUUUUGGGAAAAUCAGGCAUUAAAAGUAUCUUUGAGUCCAAU